UACGGGGGGGGCAAGCGUUGUUCGGAAUUACUGGGCGUAAAGCGCGCGUAGGCGGCUUUGUAAGUUAGAGGUGAAAGCCCGGGGCUCAACUCCGGAAUUGCCUUUAAGACUGCAUCGCUAGAAUCCGGGAGAGGUGAGUGGAAUUCCGAGUGUAGAGGUGAAAUUCGUAGAUAUUCGGAAGAACACCAGUGGCGAAGGCGGCUCACUGGACCGGCAUUGACGCUGAGGUGCGAAAGCGUGGGGAGCAAACAGG
rnacentral:rRNA from 1 species